GUGCUCACUUUUGGCAGCACAUAUACUAAAAUUGGAACGAUACAAAGAUUAUGGCCCCUGCACAAGGAUGACACAUAAAUUUGUGAAGCAUUCUAUAUUUUU
rnacentral:snRNA from 1 species